rnacentral:rRNA from 1 species
CGAAGGUAGGCAUAAUCAGUAGUCUUUUAAUUGAAGGCUCGUAUGAAUGGUUGGAUGAAAUAUAGACUGUUUCAUAAAAAUUUAUAAUAGAAUUUUAUUUUUUAGUUAAAAAGCUAAAAUAAUUUUAAAAGACGAGAAGACCCUAUAAAUCUUUAUACUUUUGUUAUUUUAAUUAUUAGGAUUAGGUUAAUUAUUAUAAUUAGAAGUAUUUUAUUGGGGUGAUAUUAAAAUUUAAAAAACUUUUAAUUUAUUUAAACAUUAAUUUAUGAACUUUUGAUCCAUUAUUAGUGAUUAAAAAUUUAAGUUACUUUAGGGAUAACAGCGUAAUUUUUUUGGAGAGUUCAUAUUGAUAAAAAAGAUUGCGACCUCGAUGUUGGAUAAA